GGCGCAUUAGCUAGUUGCUGAGGUAACGGCUCACCAAGGCGACGAUGCGUAGCCGACCUGAGAGGGUGAUCGGCCACACUGGGACUGAGACACGGCCCAGACUCCUACGGGAGGCAGCAGUAGGGAAUCUUCCGCAAUGGACGAAAGUCUGACGGAGCAACGCCGCGUGAGUGAUGAAGGUUUUCGGAUCGUAAAGCUCUGUUGUUAGGGAAGAACAAGUGCCGUUCAAAUAGGGCGGCACCUUGACGGUACCUAACCAGAAAGCCACGGUUAACUACGUGCCAGCAGCCGCGGUAAUACGUAGGUGGCAAGCGUUGUCCGGAAUUAUUGGGCGUAAAGGGCUCGCAGGCGGUUUCUUAAGUCUGAUGUGAAAGCCCCCGGCUCAACCGGGGAGGGUCAUUGGAAACUGGGGAACUUGAGUGCAGAAGAGGAGAGUGGAAUUCCACGUGUAGCGGUGAAAUGCGUAGAGAUGUGGAGGAACACCAGUGGCGAAGGCGACUCUCUGG
rnacentral:rRNA from 1 species